GCCGGUCGUGGUGGCGGGCGCCUGUAGUCCCAGCUAUUCCGGAGGCUGAGGCAGGAGAAUGGCGUGAACCUGGGAGGCGGAGCUUGCAGUGAGCCGAGAUUGCGCCACUGCACUCCAGCCUGGGUGAUACUCUGUUGCCCAGGCUGGAGUGCUGGAGCGUAGUGGCACAAUCUCGGCUCACUGUAACCUCCGCCUCCUAAGUUCAAGUGAUUCUCCUGCCUCAG
rnacentral:SRP_RNA from 1 species